GACGAGCUACACAAACGUUAUUCGGAAUUACUGGGCUUAAAGGGUGCGUAGGCUGCGCGGAAAGUUGGGUGUGAAAUCCCUCGGCUCAACCGAGGAACUGCGCCCAAAACUACCGUGCUCGAGGAAGAUAGAGGUGAGCGGAACUUACGGUGGAGCGGUGAAAUGCGUUGAUAUCGUAAGGAACACCCGUGGCGAAAGCGGCUCACUGGGUCUUUUCUGACGCUGAUGCACGAAAGCUAGGGGAGCAAACGGGAUUAGAACCCGGGUAGUCC
rnacentral:rRNA from 1 species